GUGGGACUAGGCGUCAGAUAAGUAGGGCGGGACACGUGAAAUCCUGUCUGAAUAUGGGGGGACCAUCCUCCAAGGCUAAAUACUCGUGAUCGACCGAUAGUGAACCAGUACCGUGAGGGAAAGGCGAAAAGAACCCCGGAAGGGGAGUGAAAUAGAUCCUGAAACCGUAUGCAUACAAACAGUAGGAGCGGGCUCGUCCCGUGACUGCGUACCUUUUGUAUAAUGGGUCAGCGACUUACAUUCAGUGGCAAGCUUAACCGAAUAGGGGAGGCGUAGCGAAAGCGAGUCCGAAUAGGGCGAUUUAGUCGCUGGGUGUAGACCCGAAACCAGGUGAUCUAUCCAUGGUCAGGUUGAAGGCACGGUAACACGUGCUGGAGGACCGAACCCACUAAUGUUGAAAAAUUAGGGGAUGAACUGUGGAUAGGGGUGAAAGGCUAAACAAACCUGGAAAUAGCUGGUUCUCUCCGAAAACUAUUUAGGUAGUGCCUCAAGUAUUACUGCAGGGGGUAGAGCACUGUUUUGGCUAGGGGGUCAUGGCGACUUACCAAACCAAGGCAAACUCCGAAUACCUGCAAGUACAGCUUGGGAGACAGAGCACCGGGUGCUAACGUCCGGACUCAAGAGGGAAACAACCCAGACCGCCAGCUAAGGUCCCUAAAA
rnacentral:rRNA from 1 species